rnacentral:pre_miRNA from 1 species
GUGUGUGAGCAGGCAUCUUCUCAGCCUACACGUGGAUUCCUAAAUCUGCAGGCUGGUUAGAUGGUUGUCAUGCAUUC